GGAGGAGGCUAAGAGGAGGAAAGAGGGCUGGGGAGCCAAGCCAGAGCCGGGUUGCCUGCCACCCGGCUGCACGUUUGUGAGCUGAGGAGUGCACCGCCAGUCUCUGACAAAGGAUGGGAGGAUGCCACUGCCCUGGGAUGCCGGCUGCGCGCAGUCUGCCGGCUGCCUGAGCUACUUCACCCUCCCCGGAAAUGUACCCAAAAAGACUUCUGAGAGCUUGUUUUCUGAUGUCCUACUGUGACUAAGCAAGACACUGCCAUAUUUUAGUUGCAUGGCAGUCGAUCAUCUGGACUCUGGAAUUUGUUCUAAGACCAAUACUGUCUCUCUUGCUUCCUAGUCAUGUUUCUUCUGAAUGGUCCCUAACCUUUGUAAGUUGUAGAGAAUUACUCUUAAUGAAAAUAUUCAUUAUUUUCUUAACAAAGUUUUGGACUUUAUAGACUAUUUGGCAUGCUUUUAAGAUGCAAAACAUUAUCCAGUAUUAUUUAAAAAACUAAAAAGCUAGGAGAUUCAGAGAUGACCCGAUGACUAAAGGUGAAUCCUAGUGAUGUAGACGGCCCCACCAGUUCAGGUCACAGUACCAUGACAAAGCACCAAACUUUCUAUAAUGUCCAUUGCAGGUAAACCUAUAUAUUUCUCUGGCCUUUAAGGGUCUACAGACACUACACAUAGUCAGGCAAAAUAUUUAAAAGCAAAAACAAAAAUAAAUAUUCUUAUAAAAGAAUACAAAUACAGAAAAUGAAAAAUACUUGAAUAAGGUCGUGAGAGCAUCUUUCAUCAGUAAGAGCAACUGGCAUUCUGGUCUGUCUACUAGAUGAACUUAGUAAACACAUUUAAGAGGUUUAUUCUUUGUACUGCAUUCCAAACUAUUCUUCAUUCUUAAAUUGUACUUCUCGGGUUUGUUAAACAUUCUGUAAAGAAUAUUCACACCACUGGUUAAACAGUAUUACCACAUGUAGAUGAAACAAAUUUCAGCUAACAAACAUUAAAUCAUUUUCCAGACAUAAAUUUCCAUAAUUUUACAAAUACCAUUGAGAUGAACAUUAUGUAAAUGAUGAAAAUGUAAGGAGCUGAAUUAGAAGGUUAAAGGGAGUGAACAUCUUAAAAGCACCUGAAGUAGAGUGCCAAGUUGUCCUCCCAUGUUGAGUAACAGUGAAGCCACCUCUCCAAAGAAUGAUGCCAAGUGAGGGAAGAUGUGGUAAUAUGAGUUAAAAUAGCAAUCAGAUGUGAUUCACUGAAGAUAUCAUGAAUAAUAUUCAAAUGCACAUUCAAGUCUGGUUUGCUUUGCAUU